AGCCGAUUUGAAUCAGAAUCGCCAGGGACCGAUUCCAACACCGACUCCUGUUUUUUAAACCAUUCUAGUCACGAGACUCACGACAUCCCUUUAAUCUCCCGCCUAAUAACCAACUCUAACUUGGUGUCCCUCUGUCGUUAUCUUUGCUUUUGUGAUCAAUCAAUCUCUCGUAAUUUCUAUCUGUUUUGUAGUUUAGCUUCAUCGAUUUCCCGUCUUAGGGUUUUGCUUCCGAUCGGGAAGUUCUGGAUCGACCUCAGCCGCAAUCGCUAAUCCCUUUACAGUUUUAUUCGAUAGUUAGGGUUUAACUCAAUUGACAGUGUCUGCUUUUACUGAAUAUAAUCUCUGAGUCGUGCUUCGUUUUGCAGCAGGAAGACGACGCAAUGUUGGUCCCUUAUUCGUCUUUCGUCGCCGCCGCCGCCGCCGCCGCCGCCGACGGUCCCCUGCCAUUGGAAGCUACAACAAUAGGAUAAAGGAUUUCUGGAAAUUGCUUAAUCUGAUGAUGCUUGGAUCUCUUCUUGCCAGGUUGGCUGCAUAAUAAUCACCAUUCUAAUGAUGAGUUACCCAUCCAAUUCUCCUUUCUGCUUAGUCUAGGUUGUUCCAUUAUUAUGUUUCUAGCAUCAUAUGCUCUAAAUGCUUUGCAUCAGAUAGGUGAGUCCACAACUUCAAAUUCUGCAUAUAUUUCCCAUGGCGAUAUGCUUUUCUCUUCAAUUGUAGCUUUACUUGUGUUCAUACCUGGAGAAUUAGUUAAUAACCUUGUGCAAUCAGUCAGGACAAUGCUUACUUGAGUUGAUAAGAUCAUGAUCACUACUGUAGAAUUAGAUUUUGCUUUUGUAUGUUCAUUCAAGUCCCUUUGCCCAUAUUUGUCUACUAUACUGAUUUUUUUUCCCCUGGGGUUUGCUUUGGUUAUAUGUUCCUAUGGGCAAUAGCUUUCUUUUUGGAAAACAGGUAUUCCAAUUGCUUUGGAAGAAUUUCACAGCAGGAAUUUCACAAACUUCUAAAGUAAGUUUUCUGUCCCUUUGCCCAUAUUUGUCUACCAUACUGAUUUUGUUUCCCCUGGGGUUUGCUUUGGUUAUAUGUUCCUAUGGGCAAUAGCUUUCUUUUUGGAAAACAGGUAUUCCAAUUGCUUUGGAAGAAUUUCACAGCAGGAAUUUCACUAAAUUCUAAAGUAAGUUUUCUGUUGACUAUCCUUCACAAAACAGAAUGAAUGGAGUGCUGAUAUUGAAUUUGCAACACCUGUUUUUGAUAUCAACACUUUAUGCUUGAAAGUUUAAAAGUUAAAUAGAUAGAAAUAGUCAUAUGUGCUAAGUUUAGUUAUAUUAAUGAAUAAUGAGUGAGCUCAGACUAAUAGGAGAGUUUGUGUUAGAAAAUCUCAACUGUUGCAUCAUAGCAUCCAUAUCAUUCUGGUAUUGAGUCGUAUCCUGAAUCCAUCUUGUAUCCACAGCAUACUGGGAUCCAUUGUAUUUUUUUUUGCUAACUACAGGUAUCCAGGCCUUUGGCCUGACUAGUCUAGCAGAGUAGCAGGUCCAUACUGACCCCACAGUGCAUGGAUGGGGUUAUACUGGGGUUGAAUGAGAACCAUUCAACUUUCACUGAAAACAAUGAAGAGCACCAAACACCUCCGUGUGAGUGGCCGCAUGGAGGUAAGAGGAGUUGAACUCAGAACCACAAGCUUUGCGAGGCGAAGGUCCCUUGCCAACUCAGCUACCUCCUUGGGGUUGGAUCCAUUGUAUACACUGCCAUAUAUAUGGAUUUUGACAUUGUAGAUGCAAAUAUUGUAUACUGUUUUUAUACAUAUAAGAUACAUGUAUUUUCUUCUGUUGUACCAUGUCUUUUUCACAUUGAGGAAAAAGGGUGCAUGAUUUAAGUCUUUUC